rnacentral:rRNA from 1 species
CCUACGGGAGGCAGCAGUGAGGAAUAUUGGUCAAUGGGCGCGAGCCUGAACCAGCCAAGUCGCGUGAGGGAAGACGGUCCUAUGGAUUGUAAACCUCUUUUGCCGGGGAGCAAGCUGGGUCACGUGUGACCCAGCUGAGAGUACCCGGAGAAAAAGCAUCGGCUAACUCCGUGCCAGCAGCCGCGGUAAUACGGAGGAUGCGAGCGUUAUCCGGAUUUAUUGGGUUUAAAGGGUGCGUAGGCGGACUGUCAAGUCAGCGGUAAAAUUGAGAGGCUCAACCUCUUCCCGCCGUUGAAACUGGUGGUCUUGAGUGGAUGAGAAGUACGCGGAAUGCGUGGUGUAGCGGUGAAAUGCAUAGAUAUCACGCAGAACUCCGAUUGCGAAGGCAGCGUACCGGCAUCCAACUGACGCUGAGGCACGAAAGCGUGGGGAUCAAACAGGAUUAGAUACCCCUGUAGUC